AGAAAUCUGGAACUAUCUUAUCAACACUAGUAAUGAUCUUCUCCUAACAUCUGAACCUUAAUGGUGCUUAUGUUACUGUAAGAACUGCCAUCAUUAAAAAAGUAUAAUUUUAGUGUAAAUAAUAUUAAUUAUAUUUCAGCGUUUCGUCAAUAAAAGUUAACAGAUUAAUUUGGCUAACAGUUAGGUAUCUGUAGGAUCUAUGUUCUCUGUAGAGCGUAUCCCCCAGUGUGGUAGUCCGGAGUAGGAUGAGGCGAGUAAGGUAAACGGCCCUAGGGGAAUGUCUCCCCACCUCCCCCCUGGGCCGGGCGUGUCAUCCUGCUCCAGGCUCCUUAGUUAUGGAUUUAUCCAUUACAUCUUCAAGUCGUAUCUUGUCCCCCCUGAGGUACUUUGUGUAGGAGAAUCUCGUCUUCAUUUCUCCAUGUUUUCUUAUUCUUUUGAACAUGCUGAUCAUUUACUUUCCACAUGUUUGAGUUAGACAAAAUAUCUACAAGUUGUUGGUCAAACGUAAAACAGUUACCUGGCGGAUCAGGGAACUGGAAGAUGUUGGAUAUAACUACGAACGUCUACAUUAAGGUGGUGCAGGACAGGGUUAUGUGCAAGGGACCUGAAACCUUACUGGCAGAGAUCGAGCCUUCUUUUUCGUCAACAAUAAAGACUACUGAAGGUGAUCUUUGGUGUACGCCAAGGUGACGGUGAGGGUAAAUGUUUGCCGUGUAACAAGAACUUUGGAAGGUAGUAUGUAGUGAUGAUAUUACAUAGGGAUAGUUGUCUAUACAGGUUAAAGCAAAAACAUCAUUUCAGCAGAGUAAUAGUAUCAAGGAAGAUAACAGGAGAAGACGAUAAAGAGAUUCAGGGAUUAAGAAUGAUGUUACAGUAAGAAUGAUAUCACAAGAGAAUGUUAAGAUGAAGGGAAAGAAGAAGAAUAAAAACCGUAAUUAUGAAAUACAAAAUUUUUACGUCAUAAUUUUCGGUUUGCGGCAAAUGAAGACAUAACGAUAACCAAAAAUUUCGACCCAAUUGAGGGAAAGCUAACAAGUGGAGGAACUUGACCAUAUAUGACACAUCAAAAUAUAAGAAGAGUGUCAGUCAGUAGUGUUGGGUAGGGAGUUGGGGACCGAGGCUGUUCUUGAUACACACACACACACUCGGUCGGUCCCAUUGCCACAACUCACUUCAAGUCCCUAAUAAACACUGCUAAAUGUGGACAUUAGUGUAUAAUAUAUGGUUAUACUUGUCACAGUAUAGUGGUGAGAGUUUAAUGCUAGAUGAGACUUCCAAAGAGUUUCAAUAUCAAGAAUUAAAACAUGUAAUAGUUUGUAUAUUACCUCUCCCCUUAUCCCAAUAUAAUUUACAAUAGAAAAAUGUAGAUUAAUUCAUAAUUACACUAGAAAUACUGAAUAUGGAAUCGCUAAGGAAGUAGAAGCUGCAAACACUUUUGUCAACCUAUGUCACAAACUGUGUUGGUCAGGCAGUGUAUAUAUACUGUAUGCUGUCACUGUGAGGAAGUGAUUUUGAUAUUAAGUUGAAUCGGCUGAAGAAUUUUCCUUAGUGAAUAAUAUUGUGUUCAUUAUAAAUGGGAAGUCUGCAAUGCAUGGGUAUUAGUAUAAUGCGUUACACUAUGGCAAUAUAUCGGGCAUAGUAAAAUAGAGACUUUUAUUACAAAGCUUAUGGAAGGUGUGUGGACAGUAAGGUAACCACAUCAGAGUGGAAGGUUAGAAAGUAGGGGGAAGUGAUAAUAGGAAAGUGACUUAAAACAAUAAAGGAAGUUAGUACUUUCCUUUCUUCAUAGUUAGCAGGUACUUAGGUCCUUCCUGAGGACAAGUGUACCUCCUGAGGACACAUGUACCUCCUAAAGACACAUGCACCUCCUGAGGGCACAUGUACCUCCUGAGGUCACAUGUACCUCCUGAGGACACAUGUACCUCCUGAGAAGAGGUGUUCCUCUUCAUGAGAACAAAUCGUACCUCUCAAGGAAAGGUUUAACUGAAGCUGUAGUUGAUAUUAUUUUCAUGGUUUACAGGUAUAUAUCUCUUAAGGAGAGUGACCCAUGGUAAAGUUUUUAUAGAGAGAGAGAGAGAGAGAGAGAGAGAGAGAGAGAGAGAGAGAGAGAGAGA